GACACCCUUGGCAGAUGACCUCCUCGUUGGUGGGUGUCGGUAAUGUUGUCAGUCACAGGCAACAGCUAACGAUCUGCC
rnacentral:ribozyme from 1 species